rnacentral:rRNA from 1 species
AGGGUUUGAUUAUGGCUCAGAUUGAACGCUGGCGGCAGGCCUAACACAUGCAAGUCGAACGGUAACAGGAAGCAGCUUGCUGCUUUGCUGACGAGUGGCGGACGGGUGAGUAAUGUCUGGGAAACUGCCUGAUGGAGGGGGAUAACUACUGGAAACGGUAGCUAAUACCGCAUAACGUCGCAAGACCAAAGAGGGGGACCUUCGGGCCUCUUGCCAUCGGAUGUGCCCAGAUGGGAUUAGCUAGUAGGUGGGGUAACGGCUCACCUAGGCGACGAUCCCUAGCUGGUCUGAGAGGAUGACCAGCCACACUGGAACUGAGACACGGUCCAG